rnacentral:rRNA from 1 species
GUCAGUAGCCAUAGCACCUGCAGUUCAGCCCAGUACUCCACUGGAAGCUAAACAAGUUUAUGCCUGGCCAGUACAUGAAUGGGAGACCAGCUAGAAAAGCUGGGUUGCCACUGGAA